rnacentral:rRNA from 1 species
CCUUAUUGAGCACCAAGGAGCAGGUAUCAGGCACAACUAUUUAGCCCAAAACACCUUGCUACGCCACACCCACACGGGCACCCAGCAGUGAUAAAUAUUAAGCAAUGAGUGAAAGCCAACCAAGCUCGACUUAGUUAUGAUCAUUAGGGCCGGUAAACCUCGUGCCAGCCACCGCGGUUAUACGAGGGGCCCAAAACAACAGAUAUCGGCGUAAAUUGUGGCUAGAGCACCUCUUACAACACUGAAAAAUGAACGAAAGUCUAAUCGUAAAACCUAGACCAAAAGAAACACAUAUUUUCAGCUUUAAAGCAACUUGAACCCACGAAGACUAAGAAACAAACUAGGAUUAGAUACCCUACUAUGCUUAGUUGUUAAUAUGACACCAAAAAACACCACUGUCCGCCAGAGAAUUACACGCGAAAAGCUUAAAACUCAAAGGACUUGGCGGUGCUCCGUAUUCGUCUUAGAGGAGCCUGUCCUAUAAUCGAUAACCCACGCUUUACCUUACCAUCUUUUGCUAAACAGCCUAUAUACCGCCGUCGCAAACUUACCCCAUGAGGGCACAAUAGUAAGUAAAAUAGUAACACACUAACACGUCAGGUCAAGGUGUAGCUAAUAAGAUGGAAGAGAUGGGCUACAUUUUCUAAAACAGAACACAC